rnacentral:rRNA from 1 species
ACUUCUGAAUGUUGACCUCGGAUCAGGUAGGAAUACCCGCUGAACUUAAGCAUAUCAAUAAGCGGAGGAA